rnacentral:rRNA from 1 species
CAAGUCGAGCGAACGGACGAGAAGCUUGCUUCUCUGAUGUUAGCGGCGGACGGGUGAGUAACACGUGGAUAACCUACCUAUAAGACUGGGAUAACUUCGGGAAACCGGAGCUAAUACCGGAUAAUAUUUUGAACCGCAUGGUUCAAAAGUAAAAGACGGUCUUGCUGUCACUUAUAGAUGGAUCCGCGCUGCAUUAGCUAGUUGGUAAGGUAACGGCUUACCAAGGCAACGAUGCAUAGCCGACCUGAGAGGGUGAUCGGCCACACUGGAACUGAGACACGGUCCAGACUCCUACGGGAGGCAGCAGUAGGGAAUCUUCCGCAAUGGGCGAAAGCCUGACGGAGCAACGCCGCGUGAGUGAUGAAGGUCUUCGGAUCGUAAAACUCUGUUAUUAGGGAAGAACAUAUGUGUAAGUAACUGUGCACAUCUUGACGGUACCUAAUCAGAAAGCCACGGCUAACUACGUGCCAGCAGCCGCGGUAAUACGUAGGUGGCAAGCGUUAUCCGGAAUUAUUGGGCGUAAAGCGCGCGUAGGCGGUUUUUUAAGUCUGAUGUGAAAGCCCACGGCUCAACCGUGGAGGGUCAUUGGAAACUGGAAAACUUGAGUGCAGAAGAGGAAAGUGGAAUUCCAUGUGUAGCGGUGAAAUGCGCAGAGAUAUGGAGGAACACCAGUGGCGAAGGCGACUUUCUGGUCUGUAACUGACGCUGAUGUGCGAAAGCGUGGGGAUCAAACAGGAUUA